rnacentral:rRNA from 1 species
UACGAAGGGGGCUAGCGUUGUUCGGAAUUACUGGGCGUAAAGCGUGCGCAGGCGGCCAUCCAAGUCAGUGGUGAAAGCCCGGAGCUCAACUCCGGAAUUGCCAUUGAAACUGUUUGGCUUGAGGACGAGAGAGGUGAGUGGAAUUCCCAGUGUAGAGGUGAAAUUCGUAGAUAUUGGGAAGAACACCGGUGGCGAAGGACGGCUCACUGGCUACGUUUCUGACGCUCAUGCAACGAUGAGCAGUGGGGAUCAAACAACGG